AUUGAACGCUGGCGGCAGGCCUAACACAUGCAAGUCGAGCGAGCGGCGGACGGGUGAGUAAUGUCUGGGAAACCGCCUGCUGGAGUGGGAUAACUACUGGAAACGUUAUCUAAUACCGCAUACCAUCAGAUGUGCCCAGAUGGGAUUGGAUAGUAGGUGGGGUAACGGGUCACCAAGGCGACGAUCCGUAACUGGUCUGAGAGGAUGAUCCGGCACACUGGAACUGAGACACGGUCCAGAGUCCUACGGGAGGCAGCAGGGGGGAAUAGUGGACAAUGGGGGAAAGCCUGAUCCAGCCAGGCCGCGUGUGUGAAGAAGGGCUUGGGAUUGUAAAGAACGUUAAGGUGGGAGGCGUUACCAACAGAAUAAGCACCGGCUAACUUCGUGCCAGCAGCCGCGGUAAUAC
rnacentral:rRNA from 1 species